GGAUUGUAGCUCAGUGGUAGAGUGCUUGCCUCACACGCACAUGAGGCCCUGGAUUCGAUCCUCAGCACCA
rnacentral:tRNA from 1 species